CUUACUCUUCUGGCUCCUCUUCCGUCCCCUGUGCCUUCUUCUCUGCUGCUUGCUCCUGUCUCUGCCUCCUCCUUUGUCUACUUCACACGUCUCUUGUAUGUUUCACCCUGCAGCCUCCAUGUUGUUUUACGUGUGACAUUUGUCUUUUGCAUGCUCUGUGUAUAGGGUUUGAGUCCCACCACCACCGAUUUCGUGGAUUACCCCUCCUGUGAUCCUAGGCUCACCAUUUUCUGGACUCCCCAGCCCAAAUUGGAGACCUUGACCCCCACAGAACUGCCUGUGCACCCCAGAAUCCAGAGAAUCUGGAUGUACCAUCUGCCCUGGGAUUCCCCCGGAUAGGGGCCUGACCCUUCCACCAUCUGAUGUUCCUUCUAUCCGGUCUCCGUGGGGCUUCCUGCACGUUGUCCCGUCCCCCCCAGACUUUCACUACACCCCGUCUUGUGUCCCCCUUUCUUUCUGUGGAGACCAUAGCACCGGCCAUUCUGUCCGCUACAAGCCUGUCGACGUCUGUCCUGUCUGUGCACCAUGGGGUCCACCCUGCCGACCAGCACCGCCGACAUCGCAGCCAUAGCCUCACCGUGUCUCACCCACAUCCCACCCGGCGGCGGCCUCCAUACUGCGGGGGUAGAGGCCAGCCUUCAUUCGUGUUCAUUCAGAUAAUCAAGGAUGAUGAGCAAUUAGUGUUUCUAAUCAUGUAUAUAACGACCUCAGCGGUGUAACUAACCCUCAGCGGUGACGCCUGCCACCGGGUGUCACCACUGGGGGCGCUGUACUAACACUAACGACAAACUGUACAUACAAAGAGCUGCUUGUUACCCAAAUCGUUCUGCCUCUCUCAAUGCAAAGAUUCAAGUAAACUGAUAUGAAGUACAA